UGCUUGUCUUAUGCUGAUAAGAUCUCAGAUGGAUUCUAUAACAUUCUUGGUAUGAAUCCAUAUCUGUGGGUGAUGUACAAUGACUCAGAGGAAGGUAGACGACUACCAUCUUUAAUGGCACUUAAAGCUAUUGAACCCAAUGAUUCAUCAAUGGAGGUUGUCCUUGUGGAUAGAUAUGGUGAUACACGACUUAUGGAGCUAGAAAUUAAGGCACAAGAACUGUAUUUUGCUUCUGAAAGUACGUUGGUGUUAGUGGAAAAGCUUGGAAAACUUGUUGCGAUCUAUAUGGGGGGCAAUUUUCCGGUGGAUUAAGGUGAUUCGCACAUGCACUGGAAAUUGGUUAGCCAGAGACUAAAAGAUAUCCAAAAAUGCAUUGUGCUCCCUAUUGGCAACAUUUUUGCAGGACUCUGUAGGCAUCGUGCUAUUCUUUUCAAGAGUCCACAUCACUCUCGAAUAUGAAGCGUGUAUGGGGUUCAACAUGGGGAAGAAUUCAGAUGAGAUAAGGAAAACACUUGGUCAUUCUAUUGCGAUUGAUAAUAUUCACGAAACUAUGGCGGUAGAGGUCGAGUAUUGAACUUUCGGGCUCGUGCUAUCAAGGAGUAUAUACAAGAUCAUGACUAGCUCGAGACAUUGGGUGGGAAAAGAUUUGGUUUUGGAGUCCUAUUGUUCUGCGAGUUGGUGUAAUUUGGUGUAUUAUAUAGUAGCUUCUUGAAUGGAUUAAAUUCUCAUAUGAUUUGGAAUGAAUAAAUGUAUCUUUUGUCUUAGUUAUUGAAUGAGUUUAGAUGGAUUGAAUAUAUAAACAAGUUGCACAUUUGUGAUAUUUAAUAAAUUUCUAAAUGAGCUCAAAUGGGAUAAAUGCAUAUGGACAGGUUAUUGGGAAAAUAUGAAUUUUAAUAAAAAAAUUAUAUUGAAAUACUAUCGCCGACACGAAGUUGGUCGGCAGUGAAGGUAACUUUCCUCGGCAAACAUAGCUUAUUGCCAAUUGUUUUUACUUUUGCCGAUGCAAAAUCCUGUAGGCAAAAGUGUUGGAGGUCUUAAAUUUUGACCCACUUUUGCCGAUGCAGUAGCAUUUGCCGACCAAAUUUGCCGAUGUGAGUUUGCAUCGCUGAAGCUAUUACCUUUGCCGACAAAUGCCAGUUCACUUCGGCAAAUGUCUUUCCCGAUAUACUAACACCGACAUCUUGCCGACACGACGUUUUUCAUCGGCAAAAACCUACGCCGACACAAUUACACUUUUACCUAUGAGUUUUAUUGCAUUGCCAAAUCUGCAAUUUCUUGUA